rnacentral:rRNA from 1 species
GCAAGUCGAACGAGAAAGAGUUCUUCGGAACUCGAGUAAAGUGGCGCACGGGUGAGUAACGCGUAGAUAACCUGUCUUUAUGUCUGGGAUAACCCACCGAAAGGUGGACUAAUACCGGAUAUGCUUCCAUUUCAUAAGUUUUGUAAGCAAAGGUGGCCUCUGAUUUAAGCUACUGCAUAUUGAGGGGUCUGCGUACCAUUAGCUAGUUGGUGGGGUAAGAGCCUACCAAGGCGACGAUCUGUAGCUGGUCUGAGAGGACGAUC